rnacentral:rRNA from 1 species
UGGGGAAUAUUGGGCAAUGGGCGCAAGCCUGACCCAGCAACGCCGCGUGAGGGAAGAAGGUCUUCGGAUUGUAAACCUCUGUCCUUGGGGACGAAAAAAAUGACGGUACCCAAGGAGGAAGCUCCGGCUAACUACGUGCCAGCAGCCGCGGUAAUACGUAGGGAGCGAGCGUUGUCCGGAAUUACUGGGCGUAAAGGGUGCGUAGGCGGCAUGGCAAGUCAGAUGUGAAAUCCCCGGGCUUAACUCGGGUGGUGCAUUUGAAACUGCUGUGCUUGAGGGCAGGAGAGGAAAGCGGAAUUCCUAGUGUAGCGGUGAAAUGCGUAGAUAUUAGGAAGAACACCAGUGGCGAAGGCGGCUUUCUGGACUGUAACUGACGCUGAGGCACGAAAGCGUGGGGAGCAAACA